CAGGGUUGCAAUGAUGAUAAAAAGCUCCCUCUUCUGAGAUGAGGUGAGGACAUUUGCUGGUAGAAUCGAACCUAAACAAUCAUAGCCACCACUGAGCAA
rnacentral:snoRNA from 1 species